CUCUACUGCUUGUCUUCCUCUUCCUGCCUCUAAGCAAAGCACAUGCUCCUGGAGGAAAGCAGCUGCACCGCUCCACUGUGACCAAGAGAGCUGCUUGUGGGGGAUGUGGAACAAAUCCUGAAACUGUCUUUGUUAGGAGGCUAAGAAACACAGAAGACUUCUGACUGCAGCUUCAACUCUGAUGCAGUCCCUCAUUUGCGCAAUUCAAGACAGCAUAAUCAGCAUCUUUUGGUUGGAAUUCUUCAGAUGGGAGGACUGUGAAAGCUGUGCAAAGGGGACAUUGACCUAAUCACUAAACUGCAAGCUUCCCUGCUGGAAAAGGCUGUUUCAGUGGAGCACUGACAUCCGGCAACCCUUUGAAAGACACCAGGGACCUAAAGAACGUCGAUGCUGUCAGAUUUCCAGACCUGAAUUCCUCCCCAUAAUACCCAGGCUUGCAGCCAAUUUGGCUGCCUUGGAGCAGCUGUAUCUUUAAAAAAUGCUUGAUGUGUAUUCACAAUUCAAAAAACAAAAGAAAAACAUUGCAGAAUGAUUAAGAGAGGCAGGUGUAUGAUGAUGUGGAGCAACAAAGUCACCUGUGAGGACAACUCAAGCAGAGAUGACCUUCCUAAAUUCCAUAUCACUAAUUCCGCUCCUCAGAGAGUGCGUUUUAGCAUUUGUAUCCUAGCAUGAUAUUUUCUUUAUCUAUAUCUGAUCCUAUACACAGCUGCUAUGAUACCACAAAAACAAACCAGCUGGGGAGAUCAGUAGGCUGCUUCUGAGUCCAUUCUUAUGAAGAUUAACUGCUCCUCAGAAAAUGAUCGUUCA
ensembl:lncRNA